UCAGGAUUCCAUGUUGAGAGAAUCGAUCAAGCACUUCUUCACUUCAUACCACACCGGCAGCUCGGAUUUCUCCUCUUUCGAGUCCAUUUUCUUCUGUUUGAUCCAGACAAUGCUCGACCCCCCACUCGAAAUCACUUGGUUCUACGCCGCAAUCACAUUUCACACCGCAAAGCGGAACAGCCCUUCCUCUAGGGUGCUGAUAUCUAAGGAUUUAUUGAGAUUAUUCAUUCGGUGCUCUAAUUUGAGCAGCGCACCGAAGAAGAUCGCGCUGCUGGCCCCUGUUGUAUAUGAUUUGUACAGUAUUGUGUGUGAUACUCGGGCGAUUGAGCCGCACGAGAGGAUUGAGGUUGGGAAAUUGGUGGAGAAUAUGGUUUCCCACGUGAUGGUAUCGGCUGGGGUUUACAAUUACGGGAGCGAGGAUGUCGAGUGUGAUAACGCUGUGGUGUGUUUCGAGGAUUUGGUCCACAUUUGGACUACUGACCGAGGUGGGGGGGAGUUGCAACUUUGGCGAAGCUUUGAGGACGUUCUUCCCUCUUUUGAGUGACGGAACUUGGAAGAGGAUGAAUGCUGGUUGUGGGAUGCGGGAGCUCGUGGGGAUUGUUCUGUUGGAAGUGUUCUUUCUCAGGCUUUACAUGAGUUUUAGUUCCGGGAUGAGUACAGAGGAUAUCCUGAAGGAUACACGAGACCAAGCGGUUCAACCGGAACAUCUACUUUUUAGAUAUGCUCCUCAAGAUUCUGUCAGGACCCACCUUGCCUAUUGUAGCCUCAAUGAGCCAUGUAGAUGGAGUUCUUCUACAUAAAGUGUUAUAUGAUGCUGUUAUUUUGGUCGACUAUCCAUUUCAUUCCGGGAGGUGGGUCCAGUCAUCUGUCAGUCAAUUGAAGAAGUUGGCUCUAGCAUGGGUGUUGGCUGUUGACCACGCCAUUGAGUUUGCUAGAUCAACCUCGGGCCGUUUCUUACCUUAUUGCUUUCAGAGAAUGUCAAUUGGUGGCUGAGUUAAUAAAGUGGGUCUGUAACCAAGCUAUAAUUUUUUUACUUUAAUACCAUACCCGACAUCACCAAUCCCAGAGCUCUAAUCCAGUGGCUAUUUGUCCUUAAUGGUCAGGGGAUUGAUAUAUUCGAUCAUAGCUUGAAAAUGCUCUAUGCAAAGGCAGUGGAGAGUGGGCCACCUGAACUCACACUACGUACAGGUAAUCUCAAUGUGUGUAUCACUGAUCUCAACACGAGUGGUGAAAGCGAGGACAGAAAAAUGGGCAAUGAGCCUGACAACGGUGCUCUAGGGGGGCUUUGCCCGGCAAGCGCGAAAAAUGGCAGUGGCAGAAAGCGCAAAGAGGCUCUGAGUGGUUCACGCAAACAACAGGUGAAGCAGGUCAAGCUCGAUCAUCUUGGAAGUGCUGUUAGGAACAAUUUCUUAUCUUUAUCCAGUGGCGGUGGACCAGAUAGCGGCGCCGUCUUGGUUGAGAACAUUGCCUCCGAUGAUGACAUGGACCUCGCAGGAUGAGUUUCCGUGCAGGAUGGUGGAUUUGGCCUUGUUCGUUGCAACCCAAGUGUCGGCCUCUUCUUUCACAGGUGAUGUGAAAAUACAAGGACCAUAACUAUGUUACUUUGUGUACUUCAAAAAAAACAUGAGACUUGACAUGAUGCUAUGCCAUAUGAAACCUGCUUAAAUUUUCUCUUGCAUUUGUGGGAUUUCAUGUUUUGCUCUAUCUAUAUUGAGUUUUAUCA